ACGCACGCUGGCGGCAUGCCUAACACCUGCCAGUCGAACGAACCCUUCGGGGUUAGUGGCGCACGGGUGCGUAACGCGUGGGAAUCUGCCCUUUGCUUCGGAAUAACUCAGGGAAACUUGUGCUAAUACCGGAUGAUGUCUUCGGACCAAAGAUUUAUCGGCAAGGGAUGAGCCCGCGUAGGAUUAGGUAGUUGGUGGGGUAAAGGCCUACCAAGCCGACGAUCCUUAGCUGGUCUGAGAGGAUGAUCAGCCACACUGGGACUGAGACACGGCCCAGACUCCUACGGGAGGCAGCAGGGGGGAAUAUUGGACAAUGGGCGCAAGCCUGAUCCAGCAAUGCCGCGUGAGUGAUGAAGGCCCUCGGGUCGUAAAGCUCUUUUACCAGGGAUGAUAAUGACAGUACCUGGAGAAUAAGCUCCGGCUAACUCCGUG
rnacentral:rRNA from 1 species